GAUGAACGCUGGCGGCGUGCCUAACACAUGCAAGUCGAACGAACAGACGAUGAGCUUGCUCUUCUGACGUUGGCGACGGGCGGGUGAGUAACGCGUGGAUAGCCUACUUAUUUGACUUGGGUAACUUCGGGAGACCGGAGCUAAUAACAGAUCAUAUAUUGAACCGGUUGGUUCAAUAGUGAAAGACGGUUUUGGUGUCACUUAGAGACGGAUCCGCGCCGGAUUAGCUAGUUGGUAAGGUAACGGCUUACCAAGGCAACGAUGCGUAGCCGACCUGAGAGGGUGAUCGGCCACACUGGAACUGAGACACGGUCCAGACUCCUACGGGAGGCAGCAGUAGGGAAUAUUCGGCAAUGGGCGAAAGCCUGACGGAGCAACACCGCGUGAGUGAUGAAGGCCUUCGGAUCGUAAAGCCCUGUUAUUAGGGAAGAACAAAUGUGUAAGAAAAUACGCAUGUCUUGACGGUACCUAAAGAGAAAGCACCGGCUAACUACGUG
rnacentral:rRNA from 1 species